rnacentral:rRNA from 1 species
CGUAUACAAUCUACCCAAUACUGGAGGAUAGCCCGGGGAAACUCGGAUUAUUACUUCAUAGUAUCACAGAUAGGCAUCUUGAAGUGAUUAAAGAUUUAUCGGUAUUGGAUGAGCAUGCGUCUGAUUAGUUUGUUGGUGAGGUAACGGCUCACCAAGACGAUGAUCAGUAGGGGUUCUGAGAGGAUGAUCCCCCACACUGGCACUGAGAUACGGGCCAG